AUUGAACGCUGGCGGCAGGCUUAACACAUGCAAGUCGAGCGAGCGGCGGACGGGUGAGUAAUGUCGGGGAAACUGCCUGACGGAGGGGGCUAACUACUGGAAACGGUAGCUAAUACUGCAUACCAUCAGAUGUGCCCAGAUGGGAUUAGCUAGUAGGUGGGGUACUGGCGAACCUAGGCGACGAUCCCUAGCUGGGCUGAGAGGAUGACCAGCCACACUGGAACUGAGACACGGUCCAAACUCCUACGGGAGGCAGCAGUAGGGAAUAUUACACAAUGAGCGCAAGCCUGAUGCAGCCAUGCCGCGUGAGUGAAGAAGGCCUUCGGAUUGUAAAGCACUUUCAGCGGGGAGGCGAUACUCGCAGAAGAAGCACCGGCUAACUCCAUGACAGCAGCCGCGGUAAGUC
rnacentral:rRNA from 1 species